rnacentral:rRNA from 1 species
CCUACGGGGGGCAGCAGUGGGGAAUAUUGGACAAUGGGGGGAACCCUGAUCCAGCGACGCCGCGUGAGUGAAGAAGUAUUUCGGUAUGUAAAGCUCUAUCAGCAGGGAAGAAAGAAAUGACGGUACCUGACUAAGAAGCCCCGGCUAACUACGUGCCAGCAGCCGCGGUAAUACGUAGGGGGCAAGCGUUAUCCGGAUUUACUGGGUGUAAAGGGAGCGUAGACGGCAGUGCAAGUCUGGAGUGAAAGGCGGGGGCUCAACCCCCGGACUGCUCUGGAAACUGUACGGCUGGAGUGCAGGAGAGGUAAGUGGAAUUCCUAGUGUAGCGGUGAAAUGCGUAGAUAUUAGGAGGAACACCAGUGGCGAAGGCGGCUUACUGGACUGUAACUGACGUUGAGGCUCGAAAGCGUGGGGAGCAAACAGGAUUAGAUACCCCAGUAGUC